GAGUUAGAUGCAUUUUCUGAAACUGAUUGUACAGAUGCAUUAAUAAUAAAGUAUUUACACUUACAGGCCACUUUAUUAGAAACACAUACCUAAUACUGGGUAGAAGCCCCAUUUGCUCUCAAAACAGCCUCAAAUCUUUGUGGCAUGGAUUCCACAAGGUGUCGGAAACAUUCCUUUGAGAUUCUGGACCAUGUUGACAUGAUUGCAUUGCUGCAAGUGCUGCAGAUGUUAUCGGCUGGACAUUCAUGCUCUGAAUAGCAUCCCAGUGGUGAUCUGGUGAAGGUGGAGGCCACUGAAGUACACUGAACUCAUUGUCAAAUCCAUAGAGCUUGUUUGAGAUGACUUGUGCUUUGUGACAUGAUACAUUAUCAGGCUGGAAGUAGCCAUUAUAAGAUGGUUAGAAAAUAUGUACAUCACCACCACCAGCCUGAAAUGUUGACAUAAGGCAGGUUGGCUCCCUCAAUUGAUACCAAAUUCUGACCCUAACAUCUGCCUGUCACAGCAGAAAUCGAGAUUCACAGAUUCUUGACUGACAGGAGUGGAAGGAACCUGAAGUGGCAAUCUUCUUUUGUAGCCCAUCCACCUCAAGGUUUGGUGUGACGUGCGAUCUGAGAUGCUUUUCGGCUGACCACGGUUGAAAAGUGUACUUAUUUGAGCUUCUGUAGCUUUCCUCUCAGCUUGAACCAGUCUGGCCAUUCUCCUUUGACUUCUCGUAUCUACAACGUAUUUCCACCUGCAGAACUGCCACUCACUGGAUAUUUUUUUCAUGCAUCAUACUGCAUAAACUCUGGAGACUGUUGUACGUGAAGAUCCCAGAAGAUCAAUGGUUUCUGAAAUGCUCAAACUAGCCAACAACCAUGCCAUGAUCAAAGUCACUGAAACGAUAUAUUCCCCAUUUCUGUUGCUCUGAUAUCUUCAAGGUUUUAUGCAUUGUACUGCUGCCACGUGAUUGGCAGACUGGAUAGUUACAUGAAUGAGCAGGUGUUUCUAAUAAAGUGGCCAGUGAGCGUAUAUUUAGGGCUCAAGCACUGAAGGUGCGUAGGCACCUAUUGUAUCCAGUACUUAGGGACCAAGCACCGAAGGAGUGCUACAGAAUGGGGUAGUCAGUCUUGAGCAGACUCGUCGUAAGAACCUGCAUGCUUUGGGGGGCCGUAAAACGGCAGUACAGACUCCGGCUCAGAAACAGCCUGUCAGACCUCAUAAUCCAGCAAGCAAAUGAGGGUCACGUGGAGCCUGGAGCCUAUCCCAGAGAGCUCGGGACACUGGACAGGGUGUCAACCCAUCACAGGGCACAAUCGCACACAGUCACACACUACAGACAAAUUGGAAAGGCCAAUCAGCCUACAAAGCAUGUCUUUGGACUAGGGGAGGAACCUGGAGGGAAAAAAACCCUGAAGCACAGAGAAAACAUGCAACCUCAGUGCACACACAGGGCAGAGGCGGGAAUCGAACACAACCCUGGAGGUCUGAGGCAAACAUAACCACUAAGCCACCAUGACCCCUUGAAUUUAGCUAUGUUUUUCAUUUGUUUUGAACUUGCUAGGGGUAAGAGUACAGAUUUUAACAAGUCAUACUUAAAUAGAAAUCCCCCAAAUUCAAAUGUCAAAAAUACAGAUUUUUAUGUAAAUUAGGUCCAGGUUUCGCAGGGAAAAGUAGAUGUUUCAGACAGGUCAAAGUCAGCAAUCACCCGCAACUCAAAUCAAAGUAAGAUGACGUAUGAACUUGAGUUCCAGCCUUAGUAUUUGGUUCUGAAACUUAAGGGAUGAUGAUGAACAGCAUCUUCAGAAUGUGAGAAGAAUGCAUUGUACAUAUCAUGGAGGAAUUACAGUUCACAAUAUAUUGUAAAAGAGUUUGGUGUCACUCCAUCUAUGCAAGAUGGAGUGAUCUACAUGGAGGUUAAGCCAAAACUUAAUAUAAAGUUCAGUCCAGUUCAGUAGUACAACCCCAAUUCCGAAAAAGUUGGGACAGUAUAGAAAAUGCUAAUAAAAACAAAGAGGAGUGAUUUUUAAAUGUAUUUUGACUUGUAUUUAAACCAAAAACGUAUAAAGAAAAGGUAUUUGAUGUAUUACCUAGUCAACUGCAUAGUUUUUUGAAGAUAAACAUUUAUUUUGAAAUUGAUGCAUGCAACAUGUUCCAACAAAGUUGGGAUGGGGCAAUUUAGGACUAAUAGCGAUGUGACAAGUUGAAAUAAGAAGGUGAUGUGAAACAGGUGAGGCAAUCAUCUAAUCAUAGUAUAUAAGGAGCCUCCAAAAAGGCCUAGUCCAUCAAGAGCAAGGAUGAGUUGAGGCUCGCCAAUCUGCCAACGGAUGCGUCAGCGAAUAAUCCAACACUUUGAGAACAACGUUCCACAAAGACAAAUCGGUAGGAUUUUAGGCAUUUCACCUUCUGCAGUGCACAAUACAGUUAAAAGAUUCAAGGAGUCAAAUCUCAGUGCAUAAAGGGCAAGGCUGAAAACCACUUUUGAGUGCGCAUGAUCUCUGAUCCCUCAGACAUCACUGUCUUAAAAACCAUCAUGAGUCUGUAAUGAUAUCCUGACAUGGGCUCGGGAAUACUUUGGCAAACCUUUGUCAGUCAACACCAUUCACCACUGCAUCCACAGAUUCAAGUUAAGGCUUUACUAUGCAAAGCAGAAGCCGUACAUCAACACUGUCCAGAAGCACCGCCAACUUCUUCUCAGUGGAAUCGUGUUUUGUGGUCUGAUGAGUCAACAUUUCAAAUAGUUCUUGGACAAAACAGCCGUCGUGUUCUCCGGGCCAAAGAGGAAAAGGACCAUCCAAGCUGUUAUCAGCAUCAGGUCCAAUAGCCAGCAUCCGUCAUGGUAUGGGGUGUGUCAGUGCUCAUGGCAUGGGUAACUUGCAUAUCUGUAAGGACAUCAUUAAUGCAGAAAGAUAUGUACACAUUUUGGAGCAACAUAUGCUGCCAUCUAGAGCAGGACAACGGCAAACCACAUUCUGCCCGAUUAGAAGCGCAUGGUUAUGUAAGCAGAGAGUGCGGGUGCUAGCAUGGCCUGCCUGCAGUCCUGACCUGUCUCCGAUUGAGAAUGUGUGGUGCAUCAUGAAGUGCAAAAUAAGGCAACAAAGCCCCCAUACAGUUGUGCAGCUGAUGAAAUGCAUAAUGGAUGAAUGGGGAAAAUUCCGCUUGCUAAACUUAACCAACUUGGUCUUUAGCACCCAAACGCUUAAUAAGUGUUAUUAAGAGAAAAGGUGAUGUUACACAGUGGCAAACAGUCGACUGUCCCAACUUUUUUGGAGUGUGUUGCAGUCAUCAGAUUUGAAAUGAGUGUAUAUUUUCAAAAAUAAAUUAAAUUCACAAAGUAAAACAUAACACAAUAACGUGUUACUAAUGUGUUUUCAAUAUAGUACUGGGGGAAUUGAAUUUUCACAUUUUUCAGAAUUGGGGUUGGAUAAUCUUUUUAGCAAUGGUGAGUGAUAUUAAUAUAAAGGAUUUGAAAUGGCUGGGUAUUGACAAUGAAGAAAUAUUAUUAGGUAGUUCCACAUUAGGACGGAUGGGGAAGUCAAGGCUCAGGAUCAGAAAUAUGAUGGAUGUGCAGACAAAACCAAAAAGCAUGAUAGUUAUUGCCUGUUGAGGCUGGGCAAUGUGGACAUAACCAUGCAGUGCAGUUUAUGAGUUGCAAUGUGGGUCCUUUGAAUGAUUUUAUAUUGGAUAUUUGUUCGUUUUGAGAUGAUGAAAUUUUGAAGUCAUAGAGAAAGUGAACACCAAUUUGUUUUUCCGAAUGCAAUACAUUUCUAGGUGUUUUACAUUUAGGCCGUUUAUCUCCAUCCUCCAUCUCUCUCUACUUCUCAGCACCAGCAGACCUGCUUUGACAUGUCAUGAUGAUGUCAACACAGUCAGCUGUGAUUGGCUUAUAUGAAUACCUGUUUUUUACCAAGAUUCACUCAGCUGGGACAGAACUGAUGAAACACUCAAAGCACGCAUUUAUAUUUAGAAAGGUGUAGGCAAGGGUAUUGUGCCAACAUUUAUGCUCGUUUUCAUAUUUGCUUAAUUCUGCCAGCCUGAAUGAGUAGAUGUGGAAAUAACAUCUCAGGAAGGCAGCAGCCUUUCAGAUAAAGAGCCUUCUAGAAAUCUCAACAGACGGGUGAUCUCUUAUCUUUCCAUUUUCUGUCGCCUGUCUUCUUUCUUACAGUCAUUAAUGUGGUUGUAAUUUUCGGUAAGAACUCUGUCCUGAGUGUGGGAGCAAUUUUGCUGCUCCAGACAUAUUUCUGCAACAUGUGGGUGGAAUGCAGCUGUGCAACAGUGACUGAAAUGUCAGCAAGCAGUUUUUGGCUUUUGCACCCGUGGUGAUCAUGUAGAACAAUUUUUUUUCCCUCUGAUCUUUUAAACAGGUAGUUUAUUUUUAUGAAAUGUUGAAGGCUGCAGUUUGGAAAGUGUAAAGGAUUAAGUACUGAUUGAGAUGUUCUGUAAGAUAUCAGCAGGAAGCUGAGGUAGCACUGCUGUGACCAGGUGGUGAUGCGGUUAGACUGCAACAACAACUUCUUUCUUUAUGAAGGAAGUGAAAAUUCAAAAAAGACUCCAUUGCAAAAUCUUUUCCAUAACGACAUAAAAUAUGGUAUUAUUGAAUCUUCUGCUACACAUACAUAAAUGCAUUGAUGAUUAAUCAUUAAAUAAGGGGUAUAUACUAGAAUAAGGAAGCUGCUUUUUAGUUUGACUUCUGAAAAUGACCAGCAUUACCACAUCCUGCUCUGAGUACUGUACAUAGUAAUAUCAUCACACUCACUGCAUUUCCCCCAUGUCCAUGUGGGUUAUCUUGUUUUCCUUCAACCUCUUAUAAACAUUGGUGAAUUGGUUAGACUAAAGUGCCCCUAGGUGUGAAAGAGUGGGUGAAUAUGUUUGUGCAUAGUGAUGGACUGACAUCACAUCCAGGGUGUAUUCCCACCUCACGCCCAGAGUACCUUGGAUACGUUCUGGAUCACUGGUUACUGAAGAUGAAUGGCUGAAUUUCUACAUUAGCACCGUCAUUUACUUCAGCUGAUGGUAGCUGCCUUCUAGUGGUUUUUUCAUGAUAUUAGAGUUAAAAAUAGUUUUAUGUUUGUUUUUUUUUUGUUUUGUUUAGCUUUGCAUAAUUCUGUUCAUUUUAUAGAAAAUUUAUAUACAGUCAUAGGAAAAAGAAAGUACACCCUCCUUCACACCUAUGUUUUUAUUUAUCUGGGCUUAAAUAAGAACUGUAAACAAACAAAUAACUUCAGGUGACAACAAAAAACAUUAAGACAGUUGGCCAAUCUUCCGAGGAAUGGGGGUCACAGCAAAUUCAGUCUAAGUCCAGACCGCUUAAUGCUCAGAGAUGUAAAAAAACACAAACAAAAAAAACAAAGGGUAACAUGUGACCUGCAGGCCAGUGGAACCACAUUAAAUGUUUGUUUGUGAUAGCACAAUCAGAAAAAAACUGAAUAAGUAUUGCUUUCAUGGGAGGGAUCGCUAGGAAAAAGCCCCUUCUCUCCAAAAAGAAUAUGGAACAUGACUUAGGUUUGCCAAAUUGCAUCUGAACAAACCACAAAAGUUCUGGAACGAUAUCCUUUGGACACAGCAUAUCACCACAAACUCCUCAUACCAACUGUGAAGCAUGGUGAUGGAAGGGUGAUGAUUUGGGCUAGUUUUGCAACCAUACGACUUAGGAAACUUGCAGUCAUAUUGAGACAACAAUGAACUCUACUUUAUACCAGAAUAAUCUUGAGACAAAUUGAGGCCAUCUGUCCAGCAGCUUAAGCUGGGCUGAAAUUGGGUCAUGCACCAGGACAAUGAUCCCAAGCACACCAGCAAACCGACAUCUGAAUGACUAAAGAAGAAAGUCCAGACCUCAACCCCACUGAGAUACUGUGGUGGGAUCUUAAGAGAGCUGUUCAUAAAUGAAUUUCCUCAAACAUAAAUUAACUGAAGCAAUGUUGUGAACAAGAGUGGGCCAAAAUUUCUCCAAAACGAUGUGAGAGACUGAAACUCCUACAGAAAAACUUAUUGUCACUAAAGAUGGUUCUAAAGGUUGCUGAAUUAUAGCAUGUAAUUCUUAUUUGUUUGUUUAUAGAAGUUGGUGAGGACCACACAAUUGUUAUUUGUUAUAGGCCCUGUUAAAGUUAUUGUUACAGGCCCUGAAAACAUAGAACUGAAGGAGGCUAUACAGUCUAUGUCCCAUGACUGUAUGUUAUAUUGGGAUCUAAUUUGUUUCAUGGCUGUUCCACAACAUUAAACCACACGAUAGUGUGGAAAAAAGUGCACCACCACCAGAUGUUACAUACAUAAUGGAGUAGAAACUAACUUGUAUUGUGGACUUUAACAACAGUAAAUGUAACUAUAAAACUUUUAAACAUCAUGAAGUGUUGUUCAUUAAUAUAUUACAAUUUGUGAUUGUUGGUGGUGGUAGCAGCUCAGUGAUUAAGACAUUGGUUUUCUGGUUUGAAAGUCAUAGGUUCAAAUCCCAGAACCACAAAGCUGCCACUGCUGGGCCUUUGAGCAAGGUCCUUAACUCUCAACUGCUCAGUUGUAUAAAUGAGAUAAAUGUAAGUUGUUCUGGAUAAGGGGGUCUGCCAAAUGCCAUAAAUGUAAAAUCUGGCAAAUUGCUGUUGUAUAAAUCUUUGGGGUGUGCUGUUAUAUGAAAAAUAAACUGGUUCUUAUUUUGACACAUCA